rnacentral:rRNA from 1 species
GAUGAACGCUGGCGGCGUGCCUAAUACAUGCAAGUCGAGCGAACAGAUGAGGAGCUUGCUCCUCUGACGUUACCUACGGACGGGUGAGUAACACGUGGAUAACCUACAUAUAAUACUGGGAUAACUUCGGGAAACCGGAGCUAAUACCAGCUAAUAUAUUGAACCGCAUGGUUAAAUAGUGAAAGACGGUGUUGUUGUCACUUAUAAAUGGAACCACGCCGCAGGAGCUAGUAGGUAAGGUAACGGCUUACCAAGGCACCGAUGGGAAGCCGACCUGAGAGGGUGAUCGGCCACACUGGAAGUGAGACACGUCACAGACUCCGACGGUAGGCAGCAGUAGGGAAUCUUCCGCAAUGGGCGAAAGCCUGACGGAGCAACACCGCGUGAGUGAUGAAGGUCUACGGAUCGUAAAACUCUGUUAUUAGGGAAGAACAAAUGUGUAAGUAACUAUGCACGUCUUGACGGUACCUAAUCAAAAAGCCACGGCUAACUACGUG